AGAUUUUACUGGAUUCAAGACAUCGUGUUUAUCAUUUAUCAUUUAUGGUGUGUUUGUUUUUCGGAGGAAUAAAUCAGCCUGGAAUCAAAUGUUUACAUUCAUUUUUCAACUAUGUCCUGGCUUAACUAUCACUGAUGUCUAUACUGAAGCAGGGAACUGCACAGUUAAAAAAAAAAAAAAUCUUGUCUGUCUAUGCAUAGAGUGUUCUUUCUUUUCAGGGUACUAGCAUUCACCAGGGUACUGGUCUUGAGAUCCAAAAAGAGAAUCUACCCAGAUCCUAUCAGGAAAAUCUGCUUUAUAAUUCCCUGAAGCCAUACACAACAGAUGCUCCAUUAUAUAUAACCUGGAUUCUUGAAAUAAAACAUGACUGAAUUCAAAGAACAUUUAGGUAAACCUGGGUGACCUGAUUACACUGUUUUAACGCUCUAACUAAGGUCGAGGGCUGCCCAUGAUUUCAUCACAAAUUAGGCAAGUAUUUGAGGGAAAUUCUUAAAAAAGAACGGCAUGUCCUCACGUACGGAUCAGCAAGUGAGCAAUGUUCCUGCUGUGCUUUAGAAAGAGGUGCCAGCUCGAUGAGAUGCUGUCGACAUGACAGAAAGCCACCUGCUGCCAAUUUCUACUUCCCAGUAUGAAAACCAGUCUUCUCAUGGAUUAUCGCUGCUGGUAGGAGACAGAAAAUUGCCCCUGCCCUUGCUGACUGUGGUUAACUGGUCGGGGAGCUUCGUAUCCUGGGUCUUGGAAAAUUCAGAGGGGUACAAAGACACAAAAUGACAGGAAGAGGUCGGGACACUCUGUGACAAUGGAGAACACAGCCACGUAUUCCACAUACUCAUCUGGCAUGAGAGCUACCAGUGGAAUUCAUGCCCAGAAAGUUUCAGAGGGACCCUCAAGGGUAGCUUUUUACCAGGUUCCAAGGAUGCUUCAGGCAACUUCCCAACAUCUACAGCAGCAUCAUCUGCAGGUGGCUUCCUGGUGGCUUUCCAGUGAGUCCUACUGAUGCCACAGCCAAUCCCCCGCGCCUGGGUAGCUCAGUCAGUUAAGCGUCCGACUUCAGCUCAGGUCAUGAUCUCACGGUCUGUGAGUUCGAGCCCCGUGUCAGGCUCUGUGUUGACAGCUCAGAGCCUGGAGCCUGCUUCAGAUUCCAUGUCUCCCUCUCUCUCUGCCCCUUCCCUGCUCAUGCUCUGUCUCUCCUUC